CCUACGGGGGGCAGCAGUGAGGAAUAUUGGUCAAUGGGCGUAAGCCUGAACCAGCCAAGUCGCGUGAGGGAUGAAGGUUCUAUGGAUCGUAAACCUCUUUUAUAAGGGAGUAAAGUGUGGGACGUGUCCUGUUUUGUCUGUACCUUAUGAAUAAGGAUCGGCUAACUCCGUGCCAGCAGCCGCGGUAAUACGGAGGAUCCGAGCGUUAUCCGGAUUUAUUGGGUUUAAAGGGUGCGUAGGCGGCCUUUUAAGUCAGCGGUGAAAGUCUGUGGCUCAACCAUAGAAUUGCCGUUGAAACUGGGAGGCUUGAGUAUGUUUGAGGCAGGCGGAAUGCGUGGUGUAGCGGUGAAAUGCUUAGAUAUUACGCAGAACCCCGAUGGCGAAGGCAGCCUGCCAAGCCAUGACUGACGCUGAUGCACGAAAGCGUGGGGAUCAAACAGGAUUAGAUACCCCAGUAGUC
rnacentral:rRNA from 1 species